CCUGUUCCACGUCUUCAACUCCUGUAGGAGGCUCUGGAGCUGCAUCGGCCAGAGUUUGUGUCUCGGUCUCGGGAGAGGGUGAAGCGUCUGGUGCUGCAGGUAGAGGAGAGGAAGCUGCAGGUCGUCUUCAGCAGAGAGAGAAACGAGCUCUUCAACCAACCCAGAAGACCAGGGAGACUGUCCCAACCCGCAGGCACAGCGGUGUUUCAAAGAGCCGUUCCCAAGAAGGAGAUGAUGCAACAAUCUAAACAACGGUCAGGUCAGGAACAGGAAGCAGGCUCUAACAACAGGGGGCCAGGAGGAGGAGGUAGGUCACAAAACAUUGAUAAC